UCAUAUGCUUGUCUCAAAGAUUAAGCCAUGCAUGUCUAAGUACAUGCCGUACUAAGGCGAAACCGCAAAUGGCUCAUUAAAUCAGUUAUGGUUCCUUGGAUCGUACUUGUCUUACUUGGACAACUGUGGCAAUUCUAGAGCUAAUACAUGCAGCAGAGCUCCUACCGACCUCCGUCAAAAGAGGGAGGACGAGCGCUUUUAUUAGACCAAAACCGAUCGGUGCCCUCGCGGCCCGCAAGCGGUGGUGACUCUGUAUAACUUUGGGCUGAUCGCACGGGCUCGUCCCGGCGACGCAUCUUUCAAGUGUCUGCCUUAUCAACUGUCGACGGUAGGCUACGCGCCUACCGUGGUUGUCACGGGUGACGGGGGAUCAGGGUUCGAUUCCGGAGAGGGAGCCUGAGAAACGGCUACCACAUCCAAGGAAGGCAGCAGGCGCGCAAAUUACCCACUCCCGGCACGGGGAGGUAGUGACGAAAAAUAACAAUGCGGGGCUCAUUUGAGACGCCGCAAUUGGAAUGAGCGGGUUCCAAACACUCUCGUCGAGUACCCAUUGAAGGGCAAGUCUGGUGCCAGCAGCUGCGGUAACUCCAGCUUCAAUAGCGUAUAUUAAAGUUGUUGCGGUUAAAAAGCUCGUAGUUGGAUCUCGGUUCGGGGCGGUCGCUCCUCCCUAUCAAAGGAGGCCAGCUUCCGUUUUUUUCUCCCGGACGUGCGUGCCGGUCGUCCCCCGAUGAUCUUGACCGGUUGUCAAGGGUGGACCGGCGAGUUUACUUUGAAAAAAUUAGAGUGCUCAAAGCAGGCCCCGACGCCUGGAUAAUGGUGCAUGGAAUAAUGGAAUAGGACCUCGGUUCUAUUUUGUUGGUUUUAAGGAACCGGAGGUAAUGAUUGAGAGGAACGGACGGGGGCAUUCGUAUUGCGGCGCUAGAGGUGAAAUUCUUGGACCGUCGCACGACGAACCACUGCGAAAGCAUUUGCCAAGAAUGUUUCCGUUAAUCAAGAACGAAAGUCAGAGGCUCGAAGGCGAUCAGAUACCGCCCUAGUUCUGACCAUAAACGAUGCCAGCCAGCGAUCCGGCUGCGUUCCUCAAAUGACGCGCCGGGCAGCUUCCGGGAAACCAAAAGCUUUUGGGUUCCGGGGGGAGUAUGGUUGCAAAGCUCAAACUUAAAGGAAUUGACGGAAGCGCACACAAGGAUUGGGGCCUGCGGUUUAAUUUGACUCAACACGGUGCAACUCACCCGGCCCGGACACAGGAAGGAUUGACAGAUCGAGAGCUCUUUCUUGAUUCUGUGAUAGGUGGUGCAUGGCCGUUGUUGGUUGGUGGAGUGAUUUGUCUGCUCAAUUGCGAUAACGAGCGAGACUCCGACCUGAUAAAUAGGCCCGAUUCCUCUCCUUCGAGCGAGGCGGGUUCACUUUCUUCUUAGAGGGACCGGCGGUGUCUAGCCGCACGAGACGGAGCAAAAACAGGUCAGGAUGCCCUCAGAUGUUCGGGGCCACACGCGCGCCACAAUGAAGGGAUCGACGUGUGCUCUCCCCGUCCGAAAGGACCGGGUAACCCGUUGAAUCCCCUUCGUAAUUGGGACAGGGACUUGGAAUUGUUUCCCUUGAACGAGGAAUUCCCAGUAAGCAUGAGUCAUCAGCUCGUGUUGAUUACGUCCCUGCGCUUUGUACACACCGCCCGUCGCUAUUAUCGAUGAAUUUUGGAGUGAGGUCUUCGGACUGGUGCCCGGAAUGGACCCCCGCGGUCCGAGACGGCGUGCCGGAAAGAUGACCGAACUUGAAUAUUUAGAGAAAAUAAAAGUCGUAACAAGGCUUCCGUAGG
rnacentral:rRNA from 1 species